CUUUUCUCUGGUAAUGCCUGGUCCUUCCCUUUCCCUGCUUUCCUUCCACACAGGUUUUGUGUGUCACUUUCUCAUUUGGCUGAUUGGCUUCUCAGGUGGGGACACAUGGCCUUGCCUUUGCUGUGGCAUUGACUGUUAUUGACCUCAGAUGCUGUCUUUCGCAGCUGGCUUACUUGGGAGACAUGGGGGCAAAGAGAGGAAGGGGAGGAGGUGGUAGUUAUUUAUUUUAUGCUUAUGCAUGAGGUCUUGUCUUUUUAAGGUUCUCCUCAUUACAGUUUUCUGCAUGUUUUUGUUUCUUUGUGCCUCACUCAGGCCUGUGUCUUUUUUAUUUCUACAUCAGUAGUGUAUCAUCAGUGUGGUUUUUUUUUUAGUAUUAUUAUUUUGUUUUUGAGUCUUGGCCUUCUUGACUAAUGGGCUCUAGUCCUGCUUCCAGCACUCUGUGAUCAUACCUCUGAAGACAGACAACUGCAGCAUGACAGGAAGAGAAGCAGUGUGUAUUGCCAGGAAAAAUGAAGAGGAGAAAGGCAGUGCUCCUAAACUUAAAGUAAUCUAAAGGAAAACAGCUAGAAGACAAUGCAAGAAUGGCACAUUUCCUGCCUCGCUGGAAAGAAAGGAAGUCUCUUGAUCUCUCUUCCUAUCACCAGACAUGUUUCAGAGGAAAACAGAAAAUUUCCUGUGAACCAGCCACAGAGUAUCUGCACAUUUCCCUCUCUCUAUUUCAGACUGUUCAACCUGUAGCAGUUGAGAGAAAACGUAGUAACUGAAGUUAUGGAUAUGAAGUAACUGAAGUAAUGGAUUUGGA
rnacentral:lncRNA from 1 species